CGUGUAGGCCGUCGUGUUAGUCGGGUGUGAAAGCCCAGGGCUCAACCCUGGAAGUGCACUCGAAACUGCACGACUGGAGUCUCGGAGAGGGAGGCGGAAUUCUGGGUGUAGAGGUGAAAUUCGUAGAUAUCCAGAGGAACACCGGUGGCGAAGGCGGCCUCCUGGACGAGCACUGACGCUGAGACGCGAAAGCGUGGGGAGCAAACA
rnacentral:rRNA from 1 species